rnacentral:rRNA from 1 species
UACGUAGGGUGCAAGCGUUAAUCGGAAUUACUGGGCGUAAAGCGUGCGCAGGCGGUUUUGUAAGUCUGACGUGAAAGCCCCGGGCUUAACCUGGGAAUUGCGUUGGAGACUGCAAGGCUUGAAUCUGGCAGAGGGGGGUAGAAUUCCACGUGUAGCAGUGAAAUGCGUAGAGAUGUGGAGGAACACCGAUGGCGAAGGCAGCCCCCUGGGUCAAGAUUGACGCUCGAUGCACGAAAGCGUGGGGAGCAAACAGG